rnacentral:rRNA from 1 species
GACGAACGCUGGCGGCGUGCCUAAUACAUGCAAGUCGAGCGCAGGAAGCUGACGGAACUCUUCGGAGGGAAGGCAGUGGAAUGAGCGGCGGACGGGUGAGUAACACGUAAGGAACCUGCCUCAAGGAUUGGGAUAACUCCGAGAAAUCGGAGCUAAUACCGGAUAGUUCAACGGACCGCAUGGUCCGCUGAUGAAAGGCGCUUCGGCGUCACCUUGAGAUGGCCUUGCGGUGCAUUAGCUGGUUGGUGGGGUAACGGCUCACCAAGGCGACGAUGCAUAGCCGACCUGAGAGGGUGAUCGGCCACACUGGGACUGAGACACGGCCCAGACUCCUACGGGAGGCAGCAGUAGGGAAUCUUCCACAAUGGACGAAAGUCUGAUGGAGCAACGCCGCGUGAGUGAUGAAGGUUUUCGGAUCGUAAAACUCUGUUGUAAGGGAAGAACACGUACGAGAGGAAAUGCUCGUACCUUGACGGUACCUUACGAGAAAGCCACGGCUAACUACGUGCCAGCAGCCGCGGUAACAC